UCUGGCGUCUUCGCCGUCCGAGUUGUAAUCUCAAGAAGUGUUUUCCGUGAUAGACCGCAUACAAGUCUCUUGGAACAGAGCGUCAUAGUGGUGAGAACCCAGUACACGAUGCGGAUGCCUAUUACUUUGUGAUACACUUUCGAAGAGUCGAGUUGUUUGGGAAUGCAGCUCAAAUUGGGUGGUAAAUUCCAUCUAAAGCUAAAUAUUGGCGAGAGACCGAUAGCGAACAAGUACCGUGAGGGAAAGAUGAAAAGCACUUUGGAAAGAGAGUUAACAGUACGUGAAAUUGUUGGAAGGGAAACACAUGCAGUGAUACUUGCUAUUCGGGGCAACUCGAUUGGCAGGCCCGCAUCAGUUUUUCGGGGCGGAAAAUCGUAGAGAGAAGGUAGCAGUUUCGGCUGUGUUAUAGCUCUUUACUGGAUUCGCCCUGGGGGACUGAGGAACGCAGCGUGCUUUUAGCAUGAGCUUCGGCUUAUCCACGCUUAGGAUGCGGGUUUAUGGCUGUAUAUGACCCGUCUUGA
rnacentral:rRNA from 1 species